rnacentral:rRNA from 1 species
CUUUGCGAAAGUGACGGUAAUACCUGGUAAUGUCUUCUGGUGGCAUCAUCGGAAGACCAUAGGGUGGGGACCUUCGGGCCUAUCGGCCUGGGAGCGGCCUAUUUCCUAUCAGCUUGUUGGUGAGGUAACGGCUCACCAAGGCCACUACGGGUAACCAGACUGAGAGGUCGGCCGGUCACAUCGGGACUGAGACACUGCCCGGACAUCUACGGAUGGCUGCAGUAACGAAUAUUCCGCAAUGGGCGCAAGCCUGACGGAGCGACGCCGCGUGGAGGACGAAUUCCUUCGGGAUGUAAACUCCUUUUAGGGUUAGGAAAGCGAGGGGUGUUAAUAUCACUCUGAGUUGAUCCAGCCCAGAAAAAGCACCGGCUAAUUCCGUGCCAGCAGCCGCGGUAAGACGGGAGGUGCGAGCGUUGUUCGGAAUCAUUGGGCUUAAAGCGCGUGUAGGCGGCUGGGUAAGUAUCUUGUGAAAUCCCACGACUCAACCGUGGAAUCGCUUGGUAUACUGCCCGGCUUGAGGCAGGUAGGGGUCACUGGAACUCUAGGUGGAGCGGUGAAAUGCGUAGAUAUCUAGAGGAACGCCCGUGGCGAAAGCGGGUGACUGGGCCUGUCCUGACGCUGAGACGCGAAAGCGUGGGUAGCAAACGGGAUUAGAUACCCCGGUAGUCCACGCCGUAAACGAUGCGCACUAGGUUUGCUAACCUCUGACGGUUAACGAGCCGAAACAAAAGCGAUAAGUGCGCCGCCUGGGAAGUAUGGCCGCAAGGCUAAAACUCAAAGGAAUUGACGGGGGCUCACACAAGCGGUGGAGGAUGUGGUUCAAUUCGAAGCAACGCGAAGAACCUUACCCGGGUUUGACAUGCUAGGAUUAGUUCUGUGAAAGCAGAAUGACGCGGCUUGCCGUGGAACUAGCACAGGUGCUGCAUGGCUGUCGUCAGCUCGUGCUGUGAAGUGUCGGGUUAAGUCCCUUAACGAGCGAAACCCUUGUCGCUAGUUGCCAGCGCGUCAUGGCGGGCACUUUAGCGAGACUGCCGGUGUUAAACCGGAGGAAGGUGGGGACGGCGUCAAGUCCUCAUGGCCUUUAUGCCCGGGCUACACACGUGCUACAAUGGGUGGUACAGAGGGAAGCGAUACCGCGAGGUGGAGCAAAUCCCAGAAAGCCAUCCGUAGUCCGGAUCGGAGUCUGCAACUCGACUCCGUGAAGUCGGAAUCGCUAGUAAUCGCGAAUCAGCAUGUCGCGGUGAAUACGUUCCCGGGCCUUGUACACACCGCCCGUCACACCAUGGGAGUUUGUUGCACCAGAAGCAGGUAGUCUAACCGAAAGGAGGGCGCUUGCCACGGUGUGGCCGAUGACUGGGGUGAAGUCGUAACAAGGUAACC